rnacentral:rRNA from 1 species
UAGGGAAUCUUCCACAAUGGACGCAAGUCUGAUGGAGCAACGCCGCGUGAGUGAAGAAGGCUUUCGGGUCGUAAAACUCUGUUAUUGAAGAAGAACGUGUGUGACAGUAACUGGUCAUGCAGUGACGGUAUUCAAUCAGAAAGUCACGGCUAACUACGUGCCAGCAGCCGCGGUAAUACGUAGGUGGCAAGCGUUGUCCGGAUUUAUUGGGCGUAAAGCGAGUGCAGGCGGUCUUUUAAGUCUGAUGUGAAAGCCUUCGGCUUAACCGAAGAAGGGCAUCGGAAACUGGGAGACUUGAGUGCAGAAGAGGAGAGUGGGACUCCAUGUGUAGCGGUGAAAUGCGUAGAUAUAUGGAAGAACACCAGUGGCGAAGGCGGCUCUCUGGUCUGUAACUGACGCUGAGGCUCGAAAGCGUGGGUAGCAAACAGGAUUAGAUACCCUGGUAGUC